AUAGUUUUUCAGUGGUUAGAAUAAGUGAUAUUGGUUUGGCUAAGAUGCAGGGUGGAAUGAUGUUUGCCAGGCUUGAUGAUUCGCCCAUGUUUCGUCAGCAGAUCCAAGCUUUUGAGGAAGAUGCUGAAACAUUGAGGGAUAAAUGUCUCAAGUUUUACAAAGGAUGCCGAAAGUACACAGAAGGGCUUGGGGAAGCAUAUGAUAAAAACAUAGCUUUUGCCAGUUCUCUUGAAACUUUUGGAGGAGGGCACAAUGAUCCUGUUGCUGUUUCAUUUGGAGGCCCUGAUAUGGUACAAUUUGCUAUCGCUCUGAGAGAAAUUGGAACAUACAAAGAAGUUCUUCGAUCACAGGUAGAGCAAAUAUUAAAUGAUCGAUUACUACAUAUGGCUAGCAUUGAUCAUCAAGUACAGGAAGCUCGGAAGCGUUUUGACAAAGCUGAUGUAGCUUAUGACCAGGUCCGCGAGAAGUUUCUAUCGUUGAAGAAAAAUACUAAACUGGAUAUAGUUGUAGCCAUUGAAGAGGAACUUCAUUAUGCAAGGUCGACUUUUGAGCAUACCCGCUUUAAUCUGGUUGGAGCUCUUUCUUCCAUUGAGGCCAAAAAGAAGUAUGAAUUCUUGGAAUCAGUUAGCUUGACAAUGGAUGCUCAUCUUCAGUAUUUCAAACAGGGGUAUGAACUGUUGCAUCAGAUGGAGCCUUAUAUCAAUCAGGUCCUGACCUUUGCACAACGGGCUAGAGAGAGUUCGACACAUGAGCAGGUAGUUCUCAAUGAAAAAAUGCAAGAGUAUAAGAAGGAAGUUGAUCAACAAAGCAGGCGGUCAUUAAAUAGUCCUCACAAUUCUUCAACUGCUGAAAUCACACAACAUUCUUCCAGAAGUUCCCAGAAAGUGAUAGAGGCAGUAAUGCAGUCAGCUGCAGAAGGAAAGGUGCAUGCUUUGAGGCUUCACCCCUACUAGCAAAUACUCCCUCUGUCCCAAUUUAUAUGAGGUAGUUUGACUUGACACGAAGUUUAAGAAAUAAAGACGAACUUUUGAAACUUGUGGUCUAAAAUAAGUCAUUGAUAUAUGUGUGGCUAUAAAUCAUCUCAUUAAAGGUAAAACAUGCAUUUUAAGGUUAAAUUAUUACUAAAUAUAGAAAAGGUCAUUCAUUUUGGGACUGAUAAAAAGGAAAGUGAGUGGUAUAAAUUGGGACAUAGGGAGUACCAUUCUGGCUGUUUUUGAGAUUCUUGUUAUUACUUGCAAGAGCUCUUCUGAUUACUAUUUCUACAGCUAAGAUUUCAAAUAGUGUAGGUAGAAACUAUAAAACAAGGGUAUCUCUCAAAGCGUUCCUCUAAUUUAAGAGGUGACUGGAAGAGAAGAUUCUUUGUUCUAGAUAGCAGAGGAAUGUUGUACUAUUAUCGAACACUAAGGAGCAGGUCCUCUUUUCAGGGAUCUUCCAAUCCACUCUCUUCACAUUACCAUGGAGGUGUACAUGAUGAAAAACCUGUUGCACAUCGCACGGUGAACCUACUGACAUCAACAAUAAAAGCAGAUGCAGAGCAAUCGGAUUU
rnacentral:misc_RNA from 1 species